rnacentral:rRNA from 1 species
CCUACGGGUGGCAGCAGUCGAGAAUCAUUGACAAUGGAGGAAAGCCUGAUGGAGCGACGCAGCGUGAGGGAAUGAAGGUCUUCGGAUUGUAAACUCCUUUCAUGUGGGAGCAAAAUAAAAAGAGAGUACGACAAUAGGAAGAGACGGCUAACUCGGUGCCAGCAGCCGCGGUAAUACAGAGGUCUCAAGCGUUGUUCGGAAUCACUGGGCGUAAAGCGUGCGUAGGCGGAUUCGUAAGUCGUGUGUGAAAGGCGCGGGCUCAACCCGCGAAGGGCAUAUGAUACUGCGAGACUAGAGUAAAGGAGAGGGGACCGGAAUUCGCGGUGUAGCAGUGAAAUGCGUAGAUAUCGGGAGGAACACUCGGGGCGAAGGCGGGUUCCUGGACAUUAACUGACGCUGAGGCACGAAGGCCAGGGGAGCGAACGGGAUUAGAUACCCGGGUAGUC